rnacentral:misc_RNA from 1 species
GAAUUUCGUUUCAAAGAACCGAAUUCAGAAGCCAUUAAUCAGAACACAGCAGCUGAAAAUGGUAAACCUAAACCACAGACUGGACUAGAUUUUGACAUAGACCAUCAAACCGUGUCCAAGAUCAUGAUAGAUCAGGCUAUUCAAACAUCUAGUCCUCUUAAUGUCCAACUCACGGAACUUUUCAAUGAUAACGUCCUCGACGUCUCGAAAGAUAGUCAGUUUGUCCUUCAAGACAUGGAGUUCACCUCCUGGGAACGACGCUGGUCAAACUGCAGCACGACCAGUAAUGCGACUACGGUCUCAUCAGUUCCUGAUCCCAAAUAUAAUAUCAACGACAUAACCUCCUUCAAUUCAGUAGCGCUAAUUACCGAAGAUCUUAACAUAUCUGCAUCAUCUAAUGGUCUGCAUGAGAGAGGUAAAAAGCUACUGCAGCAAGAGAUGGAAUACUCAAACAAGGUCAAAAAUGUCACCAUCGGGCUUGAAAGAUUGUGUAUGGAUGAAAAACCAGUCCCAGAUGCAGGAAUAACCAUGCAACAAGUCGCGCUGGUCAGAAUUCCCCACUUGUUGCGAUCAAGCUGCUAUUUAGCUUUUCUAAUUUAAAAAAUUUAU